rnacentral:rRNA from 1 species
GAUGAACGCUGGCGGCGUGCCUAAUACAUGCAAGUCGAGCGAACAGAUAAGGAGCUUGCUCCUUUGACGUUAGCGGCGGACGGGUGAGUAACACGUGGGUAACCUACCUAUAAGACUGGAAUAACUCCGGGAAACCGGGGCUAAUACCGGAUAACAUGUUGAACCGCAUGGUUCUACAGUGAAAGACGGUUUUGCUGUCACUUAUAGAUGGACCCGCGCCGUAUUAGCUAGUUGGUGAGGUAACGGCUCACCAAGGCAACGAUACGUAGCCGACCUGAGAGGGUGAUCGGCCACACUGGAACUGAGACACGGUCCAGACUCCUACGGGAGGCAGCAGUAGGGAAUCUUCCGCAAUGGGCGAAAGCCUGACGGAGCAACGCCGCGUGAGUGAUGAAGGUCUUCGGAUCGUAAAACUCUGUUAUUAGGGAAGAACAAAUGCGUAAGUAACUGUGCGCGUCUUGACGGUACCUAAUCAGAAAGCCACGGCUAACUACGUG